UCUGGCUCUUCACCAACUACAUAAUCAGGUGUAGACAUGGCAUGUUUUCUCCUUGUCAGCUCAACAUGCCCGGAAGGGAAGCAGGGGCCGAGGUAAUGAGGACCUUCUACUGUUGCUUCUCGCCUUCUUCCCCUUUUCUGAAUAGGGGCUUUGAUUCUGCACUAGUUCAUAUCUGACAACUGCCCUUAAUCCUAAACCUUAGGACUAAGCCUCAGGAGUUUCAACAGCGAUGGGCAAAUCCUUCUCUUGGACAAAGCAUGGCUGGGAAUGUCCGGAGCUUGAGGAUUUGAAGGUCACCAGCAGGGCUGAGAGCUCGCUCUUCACACUCAUAUCCACGAGGCUGAGAUCUUCUAUCCCCGCAAAGAGGGCUCAUCGAAUGUUCUCAAGUUGCGAAUGGUUAUCUACCAACAGUGCUGGGUAGCCAGUCUCCUUCCUGCCUACUUGUACCCCUCAAACUGGCCAGGACGGCAAUGCCACCCUAUUCUCAGUCCCAUUCCUUGGAAACAAAAGAGCAAAUGAACAAAAGCUGAUGAAAUGUAAGACCAUGGAAAGUUUCAAAUCCCAGAGCAAAUGCUGGGGACUUGACUCAGCGGCAAAAGACCUCCCCACCGUCCCUCGCAUCCCUUCCCAGGGCUUCCUACG